UCUAAAAAUGCAACAUAGGCAAAAGCAUGUAUUGACCGGACAAACUAUAACAAACGAACGUGAAAGGUAAACGUUAACUGUCGGAUCCCGUGGGUGAUUUGGAAAGGAAGUUCAGGGAUACAGGUCGGCUCAGAUGUAGGCUACAUUUCAAUUCCGGGGAAGACCUCUGAGGACAAUGAAACAACCAGCGGCAAACCAACCAGCAGCCAAAACCCCCCUAUUUCAACUCCAACCGAGAGAGAAAAAUGAAGAUGAGACCAGACAGAAUGCCAGUACCCCAUUGGGAUACAACUCUUUCUCUCAAAAUCUUAUUUCUGGUGAGUAGAUAAAUUGAGUUGGAGGACCGAUUGAAACUGGAAUCGGCCAGUACUCAGUGCUCCUCUCUCCAGGAGAUGUGUUCUAAUUAGACAGUAUGGCUGACGUCUGACUGAGAAGAAUAACAAGCUGAAGCCCCAUCCAGAGACCUCCUCCCAUGAACUUAGCUGCUUUGUCUAAGCAAACCAAUAUGCCAGCUUGCUGUAUAAACAAAACCCAGGCUGGAAAGCUGCACCUGAAGGGCUUCUCUAUAUCUGCUGGGCUUUGAUGUGGAUGGAUAAUGAUAGAGAGUAAAACAUCAUACCAUGCACAAGGCUGAAGUACAACUUCUAGAGACGUUGAGUGUUGCUGGAAAUUACAUGACAUUCGACUUACCUACUCAUGAAAGUCAUGAUAUUAAUGUGAUCAUUAGCUGUAAUGUUAGUUUAAUGACAUAAGCAAUAUAAAACUGCCACAAAGUCACAGGCCCUGACAGUUAGCAUACUGGUACUUUAAGAUACAGGUAUUUCUGUUGUACAUUACAAAUGGCGGGUCAACUUAUGUGAGUGCUGACAAAACAGCAGGAUUAUAUACCAUGUUUUAAUGCAGUGGUUCUUAAAGCUGGGUUAGCGACCCCCUGAGUGGUCACCAGAUGAUUUUGGUGGGUCACAAGUUGAU